AAAAGUGGUGCCUCACUAUCAAAGGUAAAAUAUAGAGACCCACCUGUACUUUGGGGUAGUGAUAGUUAGGUCCCUCAACUUUCAUUUGUGACAGAUAAUUAUCUUGUACAUUCAAAUUCUGAUACUUUUCUCCCACCCUUAGGAUUCGGUCAGUUUUAAAUAUGGGCAGAUUUCUUAAACUAUCUUUACCGUUUACAAAAUAAAAUUAACCUGUAUUCUUAUUGUUUACAUAUUAUCUAAAGCUAUCCUUUAAGUUUUUUACAAUUGUCAUCAUUGUUAAAUCAGGAUGAAAAUGUUGAAGUUAUGUUUUUAUCCUUCCGUUAAAACUGACAAAAAUCGAACUUUUAGUUCAAAUUAUGGUUUUACCCUUCUAUUAAAACACACAAAGGAUCGGUUGAAGGUCGGUCACCCAUUUAGAAGUUUGUCCCGAAAAAACAUUGCCAUCCUUGUCCUAGUGGAGGAGGAACCCUAUCAUCUACGACAAAUGCCGUUGCAAACUCCAACUGGUGGUACGACGGUGCAAGUGGGAUUGGCAGGAUUCGUUUAACCUAUUCUCUACGUGUUCAAAGCCUAUCAUCAUUAAAGAUGAAGCAGAAGCUUUGGUGAAAUGGAAGGACAGUUUAAGUUCUCACUUCAUGGUCCCUUACCAGUCGGUUUAGAUAAAUCUUGCCAACUCAGGACAAUUCAUUCACAGGUCCAAUUCCAUAUCAGAUUAGCAAUCUACAAAAGGAUAUGAUUAAGGUUCUUUUGAAGAGUUUAAGGAAGUAAGAAGUUGUGGCCAAAGCAGUUGUUAUAAGCAAAGACCCAUGUAAAAAAGUAGAAGAUAUUGAAUUGGGUCAAGAUUUUUGAGAGGUAUAUGUUGAGGUACUGAUAAUUCGUGAGGAGCCUUUACUAAGACCCCAUGGACGUCAUAAGACAAUUGGAACAUUUGUUGGAGCUACUAUUGCUUGGCCUUUGUUUUUGGUUGUAGAGGAAGAAAGGAUUGGAUGAAGACUACAAAGAGUUUUUUUUUUUUUUUUGAGAUAAAAGGAUUUUCUUUUGGACUACUCUAUAUAUGAUUUGUAGGUUGUUAAAAAAA